rnacentral:rRNA from 1 species
GACGAACGCUGGCGGCGUGCCUAACACAUGCAAGUCGAACGGAAAGGCCCUGCUUUUGUGGGCAGCUCGAGUGGCGAACGGGUGAGUAACACGUGAGUAACCUGCCAUUGACCUGGGGAGAACUUCAGGCAACUGGGGCUAAUACCGGAUAGGAGCUCCCGCUGCAUGGUGGGGGUUGGUAAGAUUCGGUGGUUGGGGAUGGACUCGCGGCCUAUCAGCUUGCUGGUGGGGUAGUGGCUUACCAAGGCCUUGAGGGGUAGCAGGCCUGAGAGGAUGAGCGGCCACAUUAAGACUGAGAUACGGCCCGGUCACCUACGGGAGGCAACGGAGGGGAAGAUUACACAAUGGACUGGGAGCUGGUGCGGUAAAGCAACGUGGGGGAAGACAGGAUUCGGGUUGUAUACCACUUUCGCCUGUCACGAAGCGAGAAUGACGGUAAUGGGUAAAGAAGCACCGGCUAACUACGUG